UACGGGGGGGGCAAGCGUUGUUCGGAAUUACUGGGCGUAAAGGGUGCGUAGGCGGUCGGGUAAGUCUGACGUGAAAUCUUCAAGCUUAACUUGGAAACUGCGUCGGAUACUAUUCGGCUGGAGGAAUGGAGGGGAGACUGGAAUACUUGGUGUAGCAGUGAAAUGCGUAGAUAUCAAGUGGAACACCAGUGGCGAAGGCGAGUCUCUGGACAUUUCCUGACGCUGAGGCACGAAAGCCAGGGGAGCAAACGGG
rnacentral:rRNA from 1 species